GGGAAGCAGGAGGGACCAUCCUCCAAGCCUAAAUACUACCUAGUGACCGAUAGCGUAUAGUACCGUGAGGGAAAGGUGAAAAGAACCCCGGGAGGGGAGUGAAAGAGAACCUGAAACCCUGCACUUACAAGCUGUAGGAGCACAUUAUUUGUGUGACUGCGUACUUUUUGUAGAACGGGCCAACGAGUUACGUUGUGUAGCAAGGUUAAGCACUUAAGGUGUGGAGCCGUAGCGAAAGCGAGUCUUAAAUGGGCGUCCAGUUACCCGACGUAGACCCGAAACCAGGCGACCUAUCCAUGAGCAGGUUGAAGCGAAAGUAAAAUUUCGUGGAGGACCGAACCCACGAGCGUUGAAAAGCUCGGGGAUGACUUGUGGAUAGCGGUGAAAUUCCAAUCGAGCCCGGAGAUAGCUGGUUCUCCCCGAAAUAGCUUUAGGGCUAGCCUCAAGGUGAGAGAAACGGAGGUAGAGCACUGAAUGUCCUAGGGGGUAUUGCACUUACCGAAGACUAUCAAACUCCGAAUGCCGUAUUCUUUUGCUUGGGAGUCAGACUAUGGGUGAUAAGAUUCAUAGUCAAGAGGGCAACAGCCCAGAUCGUCAGCUAAGGUCCCUAAAUGUAAGUUAAGUGGUAAAGGAUGUGGAAUUGCACAGACAACCAGGAUGUUGGCUUAGAAGCAGCCACUCAUUUAAAGAGUGCGUAAUAGCUCACUGGUCGAGUGAUUCUGCGCCGAAAAUUUCCGGGGCUAAAACUUACUACCGAAGCUACGGCAUCAUUAUGAUGGGUAGGGGAGCUUUCUAUGCGGCUUGAAGCAUGACCGUAAGGACAUGUGGACUGCAUAGAAGUGAGAAUGUUGGCAUGAGUAGCGAGAUGUGGGUGAGAAUCCCACAGGCCGUAAACCCAAGGUUUCCAGGGGAAGGUUCGUCCGCCCUGGGUUAGUCAGGACCUAAGCCGAGGCCGAAAGGCGUAGGUGAUGGACAACAGGUUGAUAUUCCUGUACCACCAAUAACCGUUUGAGAAAUGGGAUGACACAGUAGGAUAAGCUAACCGCACUGUUGGUUAUGUGCGGGCAAGUAUUGAGGCAGUUCCGAUAGGCAAAUCCGUCGGAAUAAUGCUGGGGUACGAUGCGGAGCGAAAUUUAGUAGCGAAGUAGCUGAUUUCACACUGUCGAGAAAAGUCUCUAUCGAGGUUAAAGGUGCCUGUACCGCAAACCGACACAGGUGGGUGAGGAGAGUAUCCUAAGGCCAGCGAGAGAACUGUUGUUAAGGAACUCGGCAAAAUGACCCCGUAACUUCGGGAGAAGGGGUGCCUUCGAAAGAAGGCCGCAGAGAAUAGGCCCAAGCGACUGUUUACCAAAAACAUAGGUUUCUGCUAAGUCGCAAGACGAUGUAUAGGAGCUGACGCCUGCCCGGUGCUGGAAGGUUAAGGGGAUCUGUUAGAGCAAUCGAAGCAGUGAACUUAAGCCCCAGUAAACGGCGGCCGUAACUAUAACGGUCCUAAGGUAGCGAAAUUCCUUGUCGGGUAAGUUCCGACCCGCACGAAAGGCGUAACGAUUUGGGCACUGUCUCAACAACAGACUCGGUGAAAUUGUAAUACCGGUGAAGAUGCCGGUUACCUGCGACAGGACGGAAAGACCCCAUGGAGCUUUACUGUAGCUUGACAUUG
rnacentral:rRNA from 1 species